rnacentral:rRNA from 1 species
UCGUGAUUAUUGGGUCGUAAAGGGUCCGUAGCCGGUUUGGUCAGUCCUCCGGGAAAUCUGAUAGCUCAACUAUUAGGCGUUUCGGGGGAUACUGCCAGACUUGGAACCGGGAGAGGUAAGAGGUACUACAGGGGUAGGAGUGAAAUCUUGUAAUCCCUGUGGGACCAUCUGUGGCGAAGGCGUCUUACCAGAACGGGUUCGACGGUGAGGGACGAAAGCUGGGGGCACGAACCGGAUUAGAUACCCGGGUAGUCCCAGCCGUAAAACGAUGCUCGCUAGGUGUCAGGCAUGGCGCGACCGUGUCUGGUGCCGCAGGGAAGCCGUGAAGCGAGCCACCUGGGAAGUACGGCCGCAAGGCUGAAACUUAAAGGAAUUGGCGGGGGAGCACGACAACGGGUGGAGCCUGCGGUUUAAUUGGACUCAACGCCGGACAGCUCACCGGGGGCGACAGCAAUAUGUAGGCCAAGCUGAAGACUUUGCCUGAAUCGCUGAGAGGAGGUGCAUGG